UACGAAGGGGGCGAGCGUUGUUCGGAAUUACUGGGCGUAAAGGGCGCGCAGGCGGCUCUGAAAGUCAGAUGUGAAAGCCCCGGGCUUAACCUGGGAACUGCAUUUGAUACUGGGGGACUUGAGUUCGGGAGAGGCGAGCGGAAUUCCCAGUGUAGAGGUGAAAUUCGUAGAUAUUGGGAAGAACACCGGUGGCGAAGGCGGCUCUCUGGAACGCAACUGACGCUGAGACGCGAAAGCGUGGGGAGCAAACAGG
rnacentral:rRNA from 1 species